rnacentral:rRNA from 1 species
UACGAAGGGGGCUAGCGUUGCUCGGAUUGACUGGGCGUAAAGGGCGCGUAGGCGGUUCGUACAGUCAGACGUGAAAUUCCUGGGCUCAACCUGGGGGCUGCGUUUGAUACGUGCGGACUUGAGUGCGGAAGAGGGUCGUGGAAUUCCCAGUGUAGAGGUGAAAUUCGUAGAUAUCAGGAAGAACACCCGUGGCGAAGGCGGCUCUCUGGGACGGUACUGACGCUGAGACGCGAAAGCGUGGGGAGCAAACAGG